rnacentral:rRNA from 1 species
UACGAAGGGUGCAAGCGUUACUCGGAAUUACUGGGCGUAAAGCGUGCGUAGGUGGUUUGUUAAGUCUGAUGUGAAAGCCCUGGGCUCAACCUGGGAACGGCAUUGGAAACUGGCUUACUAGAGUGCGGUAGAGGGGUGUGGAAUUCCCGGUGUAGCAGUGAAAUGCGUAGAUAUCGGGAGGAACAUCUGCGGCGAAGGCGACACCCUGGACCAGCACUGACACUGAGGCACGAAAGCGUGGGGAGCAAACAGG